CACGUAGGGUGCGAGCGUUGUCCGGAAUUAUUGGGCGUAAAGAGCUCGUAGGCGGUGUGUCGCGUCGGCCGUGAAAACCUGCAGCUUAACUGUGGGCUUGCGGUCGAUACGGGCAUCACUGGAGUUCGGCAGGGGAGACUGGAAUUCCUGGUGUAGCGGUGAAAUGCGCAGAUAUCAGGAGGGAACACCCGGUGGGCGAAGGCGGGGUCUCUUGGGC
rnacentral:rRNA from 1 species